UACGUAGGGUGCGAGCGUUGUCCGGAAUUAUUGGGCGUAAAGAGCUCGUAGGCGGUUUGUCACGUCUGCUGUGAAAUCCCCGAGGCUCAACCUCGGGCCUGCAGUGGGUACGGGCAGACUGGAGUGCGGUAGGGGAGAAUGGAAUUCCUGGUGUAGCGGUGGAAUGUGCAGAUAUCAGGAGGAACACCGGUGGCGAAGGCGGGUCUCUGGGCCGAUACUGACGCUGAGGAGCGAAAGCGUGGGGAGCGAACAGG
rnacentral:rRNA from 1 species